UACGUAGGGUGCGAGCGUUAAUCGGAAUUACUGGGCGUAAAGCGUGCGUAGGCGGUUAUUUAAGUCUGUUGUGAAAUCCCCGGGCUCAACCUGGGAAUGGCAAUGGAUACUGGAUAGCUAGAGUGUGAUAGAGGAUGGUGGAAUUCCCGGUGUAGCGGUGAAAUGCGUAGAGAUCGGGAGGAACAUCAGUGGCGAAGGCGGCCAUCUGGAUCAACACUGACGCUGAGGCACGAAAGCGUGGGGAGCAAACAGG
rnacentral:rRNA from 1 species